rnacentral:rRNA from 1 species
AGUUAUAGCCAUAUCACCCUUAACAUACCUGAUACCAUCUCAUCUUGGAAGUCAAGCAGUGUUGGGAUGGAUUAGUGCUUGGAUGGGAACAAAUACCUACCUGGGAUUAACUGGAAGUAGUAAUAA